AAAAGCUCGUAGUUGGAUUUCUGGCUGGGCAUGUGGGUCCGCUCUUUGAGUUGGCACCAUACAUGUCUGGCCAUCCUUUGGGAGAGCCACAGUGGCAUUAAGUUGUUGGUGUGGGGAUCUCAAUCCUUUACUGUGAAGAAAUUAGAGUGUUCAAAGCAGGCUUACGCCGUUGAAUAUAUUAGCAUGGAAUAAUGACAUAGGACUUUUGUACUAUUUUGUUGGUUUGCGAGCAAAAGUAAUGAUUAACAGGGACAGUUGGGGGUAUUUGUAUUCCAUUGUCAGAGGUGAAAUUCUUG
rnacentral:rRNA from 1 species